AGGCUCCGUUUGUGACACCGGUGAAUUGGCCGUGCAGGAAACGAGAUGAGAUUGAGUGCAAGAACUCGCUUGACUCAUCACAGAGGCACAGAAGGCUUGGAAACAACAAAUGCAUGAACAAGUACCACACAAGGAGCCACUGCAAACCGCUACUGGAUUCCCAGCAAUUCUGCGGGCUGCAGACCAUCGCAUCAUCACCACGGGAUACCAGUCACACCUCCAGCGUCAUGAUUACACCUACCUCAAGCCCAACAAAAGAGCUCGAUCAACCGACCAAGUCAGGGAGUAAUGGCCAAUACAGCCUCCGCUACAGCACUCGUUGUCAUGACAAUGAAAGAGACCAACAAGAGGUCCGAGAUGCAAGUAGCGAUGAGGAGAACGCAGAAGACAUUGACGGGGAUGAUGGGCGGGAACUCGGCAUCUUUCCGUUGGACCCUGGCAACGAUUUAGACGUCGAUCUCAUUGAACAAAAUUGAAAGGGGUGUAGGAUUUAUACGAUGUUACUUUUUUUAAUGUAAAUUUGUCACAUGUGGGACACAAUUUUCCACAUCUCAUCUAAAUCUAGUAGGAGAUAGAAUGACUUUUUUGAAAGUUAUUCUGAAUAUUCCAUACAAAAUCAAUCACUUAAAAGAAACACAGAGAAGAUGAGUUUAGAAAAUUAGCCUUUGUUUAAAAAUCUGCUUGCCGUGAGUUCACAUGAUUAUUUUAAAGAUAUAAAAGCUUCUCUUAGACUUAUUAUACAAUUUUAAUCACAACAAUGACUUGGUUUUCCCCCCUUUUUGUUUUUUAGGCAUAUAUUAACAAAGUAUUUAAUGUAUCACUCGAUUGUGGUGUCUGUUUUUUUCUUCAUGUGCUAUAUAUUUAUUUGGUAUUGUUUUGUGUUUUGCAAUAUGUAUUGAAUAGGGACUGUGAAGAUUCGUCAUGUGGAUUAUCAUCAAAGAUCAAAAUGUGUCAAUUACAGAGUGCUGGGGUUGAUUUCAUGAAAGAAGUCCUAACUUAGGACUAUUCUUAGGACUUUUAAGGAGCUAUUAGGCUAGUCCCAAGUCAGACAAAUAACUUGAGUAUCUCAAAAGAAGACUAGUCUGAACUCUUUGUGAAAUCUACCCAAUUCAAACUCAUCAUUUCUCAAUUCUCAACGGAAACUCAAACUCAUUGAAUAUCACAUUCAGGUGUACUUGCUACCCAUGUCAAACACACUAAAAAUAACGGGGCUCAUGUAGUAGGGAUGGAGGGCUGAGUUAAUCACAACCCACAUUUAGCCAUUUUGUUCUUGUUUUCCAAUAAAAGAUCCAAAACGAAUGUACGCAUAUACGGAUGUACCCACAAAUUCUUCUGUUGGAUUUGAAACUUUGCAUGGUCGGAGUACAAAGUAGAAUCAGGUGAGGUUUGCGGGUAGCACCAUGUAAAAAAAGAGAUUUACACAUAAGAUACAGCCGUGCGAUCACAAACCUGACCUGAUUAAAAAAAAUAUAUUUCUAUUUCUCUAACCCAACCUGGAUUUAAGAUUUGUUCAUUCAAUUGUGCAGAUUUGCAUGAGUGCCAUACCAGCUCAUUGUGCAAGUCUAAAAAUAACCCACAACAGACACAUCAUUCAUGGGAAAUGGUUUCAUUUUAAUUCAAAUGUACAUGUUAUGUACACACCCUGUAGUUUGAAGACACUUUUCUCUGGAGGAUAUUCACAGUCCACUAAUUUUUUUUUUCUUUCUCCUUUUUAAAACGGAAUUAUAUAUCAACUUCUCAUGUUGGUUUCAAAGAUCGGUUGAGAUCCUGCUGCAACCAAUAUAAUGCAAACAGGAAAGUAAUGAAAUAAUCAACAACUUCUCCGAUUUGUAAUGGUUUCAGGCAAGACUCCUGCCUUAUUUAUUUAUUUGUUUAUUAUUAUUAACUAGUUGUUAUUAUUUUUUAUAAUUGUUUUUGGAGGGGGGGGGGGGUAGUACUCAAAAGGUGUUAUGCCUCCCUAAUGGGUAUGGGUGUAAUUAUCCAACCAAACAGGUGUCUUUGUGAACCAAUCACGUGGUGCACUCACUUAGCAUGUUUCCUUCUUCUGAAGUGUUUAGCGGGAGGAGGAAUCUAAACGAUCACCUUACCAAACAUAUCCUGGCAACCUGGAAAGAGGCCAAUAUGUUGUCAUUUCUGACAUAAAGUUUGAGUAAAUAGAUCUAUUGCAGCCAUCUUGUUUUCCCUGCCAUUCCUAAUCAGAGGCUGGAAGGUCAAAAUAGUCUGCCCCCUGUAUGGAGUAAUGAGAAUAUAUUUUCAUUAUUGUCAAAGGAGACAGGGAACAUGGUUGUAAUGUUUGUUAAAGGUCUAUACCCUCUUCAAGAUGUUUAGUUGGAUGACCAUGGCUCAAUUUCAUAAAGCUAAUAAGCAGAAAAUACAGCUUGACAAAUUUCUUUGGUAAGCAAAACUUGAGUUCGGGCACCAGCCACGACAAUGCAAACUUAAUGUAAUUUAGGCUGGUAACCUGGUUCGGCUAAGCAAUACCAUUCUGUGCUUAGCAAGUUUUUGUGCUUGCAGGCUUUAUUAUGUUGGGCCCAUCAGUCAUGCCAGAGAGGCAGAAAGUGGUGUUAUCACCCAAGAAGUUCCUAGAUUGGGGAUCACUGCUAAUUUCAUUGGGGAAUAAAGAUCCAAUCGAAGCAUAUGCCAUUUGGGGUAGUUUUAUGUGUAUUACCCUGGAUGUUCACAAGGGAACAAAUAUCAAUCGGGGUGGAACUACAUACACCAAAUGGGGUACACUUUUGGAGCCUCAGCAAGUAGUAACAUCAGAAACCAUGUCAAACUAGAGUAGGUUGAAAUAUAAUUCCGUUUAUGUUUGAUUCAUUUUUGUUGAGAACAUAUGGUUUGUAUGUGCAUUUCUGUAGUGUAUUACUAGAGUAAUCUAAUAUCAUGAGUUUAGUAGAUAGCUAUGAAGCAGGGCAGUUUGCAAUAAUUUUAUGUUGGCUUUGUUUGUGUGUGUGUGUGUUUUUGUUUUGUUUAUGCUGUGUGUAAGAAGGAUAUCAACAAGCCAAUUUGUUUCAAGAUUUAUCCCCAUCAAAAAAUUAAAAAACAUUGUACCCAGACAAUAUGGAAUUUUUAGUUUGGGCAGUUUGUAUGUGUUUAAUGUACUGGUUACAUUCAUGAUAGUUUACGUUCGUGAUAAAACACUGUCACAUUUUUUCUGUGUAGAUUUUGGCCCAAAGGUCUUUUUCCACCGCACAUAGUUAAAGCAUACAACACAAAUCUACACAAUUGAUCAUUUAUGAGUUCCUGCAUAGACAAGACACACUCUGGAAUUCUCUCUUUGUUUGAUCAAAGAAAACAAAAUGUACUUCCAAAGAGUUUCUGGUUUGUGCCUUGAUCUACCUUUGAGUGUUCAUCUAAAUAUACUGUUCCCUUUGAUUUCACUUCCUCUGCUGAUGAAAGAAAUUUGCCAAAUGAAAACUUUCCCCAAAUUGCUUAACAGUAAAUUGACUAUAUUUAUGGAAUUAACAGUUUUGUUUUGCUGUGAAUGGUGAGUAGUUAUUUUAACAAAGGAUGGAACUGAAUGUCAUUCUUUGAAACAUUAACAGUUUGCAGUUAAAAAGUAAAAAACAAAAUAGUUAUUGUUAACUCUGCGUUGCUGAUAGACUGAGGAAAACUCAAUACAGUUUAUGCAGUUGAUGUUUUGUUUACAUAAGGUUGAUCAUGUGACCAGUAUUUGUAAAUAAAGGUCAUUCAAGAUCAGUAUUGCUAAUUAAGUUCAUGUGACUGCUAUAAAAUGAAGGUGUGUGAUUGAUACUGCUCAAAUCAGGUCAAGUGAGUAGAGUUCAAUGGGGUCACAUGAUCAUCACAUGAGGUCAUGUGAUACAUUUUGAAGAAGUUUUGAUACAUCUAUUACUGACAAAUAAAAUUUUAUGACCGUUUUGUCAACAGAUGUUAAGCAACCAAAAUUGUCGGACUGGGUCAUGUUACCAAUACUGAAAAGUUAUAUCAUGUGAUCGACAUGCCUAUGAGGUCAUGUGACCUGAUAUUGUCCACAAGGUCAUGUGAUCAGUCAAGUAUCAGCUUCUUGAAUGAAAAUCUUGAGCAAUGAUUUUUUCUUAAAAAGAGAAGUGAUUUAUUCAAGUAAGCACUCUGUGCUUCCAAGAUGACAGUGAACAGUCAAUUUCAUGAACUUUUUUUCUACAUUUGUGAAUCGAAUGAAAGAGUGACCAGAAAUUACUCUUGUAUUCAAAUUAAAUGAACUUAUUGUUUGCUUAGUAGCUUAUCGGUUUUCAAAAGGCAUUUCAUGACAAUUUGCGUGAUUACUGAUUUAGCAUGGAUAUGAUUAUUGCAGGUCUCAUAUUUUUAACUUGUACAAUUAUCUGAUUAAUAGCUUUAAUGAAUUGUUUUGAAGAGAAAAAAACAUGAAAAAAACCUACAAACAAAAAGAUGCUGUUGAUAUUUGUUCUUUAAUGAUAAUAUAUAUAUUUUAGGGAUACUUUGACUGCACAUUUAUAAAUGAAUUUCUGUAGUGAGACACUUUGGUUGUGUGAUGUUGGAACCAAAUAAAGUGCUUGGUAUCGAUUUAAUAUUGAUAACGACAAUUCAGGGUGUGUCUUGCCUGCUUUAUAGCACUGUACAUGUAUCAAUUGUUUAGGAGAACGGUUUGGUUGUUCCUAUAAAAAAAAGGUGUUCCAUUCCAAGAAAGUUUGUGAGUCGGUCUUUCAACCAGGUAAUAUGAAAAAGCGUUAGAUUAUUUUGCACUCCAGCCGUUCCUGGUGUUUUUAUUAGCUUGAUUAAAAAGCAGUAUUAUUAUCAAUUGGAAUUUUUUUGAUGGGAGAGUGAGAGGGGGUGCGAGUGAGUGAACUGAAAAGUAGGAAUGUAGCCUUUUUGGAGAGACCUUACUAUAAACUAAUUACUGAAUUAAAAUCAGUGUUUUAACUUAGUCACAUGAGAUGCACUAAAAUGGUGUUAGAAGCUCGGUGUAUAAAAGUGCUGCUUACAAUGUUGAUAAUUCCCCUUGUCAGUUCAUUUUAUACACAGGCACUGGGUGUUGAUGCUCGAACGCUGAGUGUUGAUACUCAAACACUGAGCGUUGAUAUUCAAACACUGAGUGUUGAUAUUUAAACACUGAGUGUUGAUACUCAAGUACUGAGUGUUGAUACUCAAGUACUGAGUGUUGAUACUCAAUCACUGAGUAUUGAUACUCAAACACAGUGUUUAUACUCAAUCACUGAGUGUUAAUACUCAAUCACUGAGCAUUGAUACUCAAUCACUGAGUGUUGAUACUCAAACAUGAGCUUCUGUUCUUAAGCACCGAGUACUCUCUCAUUUCCUUAGUAAUUUGAUGUAAUUUUAACAAAAUUAAUAACACAAAUUAAAUAGUGAGAACAUGUUCUAUUUUUUAUAAACCUGACACUUGUUGGGUUUUUGGUUAGCAUAUAUAAGUUGGUUGGAAGGCACAGUUAUAAUUGUUUUAUUUUUCAUGGUAAAAUUUUGACUUAUAAGAAUGUUAUUUCAGUCUUUGGAGCUGAUAGUCUACCAUGGUAUUAAAUGCUUGGUAAACAUUUGUAUGUUUUCUUUCAUAGUGCUGUAAAUGUGUUAUUGGGCUGAAGAGUUUUCCUGCUGAAGAAUAUUGUUCUUAAAGUCUGGGAUUCCACAGGUGUGUUCUGUAACUCAGAGCUCCUGUAAACAAAUUGUUGUGAGACAUAUUUUGGGACUUUCUCAAAAGCAGAAUACCUUGAAUCAUUUUUUUUAAAAAGGCUCAGUUUCUUUCAAGAAAUGUACCACCUGCCAGCAAUGUGGAAGAAAAUAUCCAGUGUUUUUACCUCCAUGUUGGAUUUAUAAUAGUCGUAAUGGAUUGAUACUGUGCCACUAACUUUGGACUUGUUGUUAAACCAAUCUUGUUAUUCUAAGUUGUAUAUAAUUUUUGUGGGUUUGAUAAAAAAAAUUAAAUAGUAUUCCCAGGCUAUUGUAGUCUGGCUCCUCUAGUUGCCUUACUUAAGUACCUUUUUCUGCACAUCCAGUCCCCCGACUCACUCGGUGUUGUAUAACUAGACAGUGAAGAGCACUUUGAUAUAAUUGACACUUGGUGUGACUAGACCUUACUCAUGCAUCCGCCAUUUUACACACACGUCUAUGGGAGUCAAACUGAGGCUCAUUGGCAGAGUAGGCUGGUGCCUUGUACAUUGUGAACUUUUUUCGAAGUGGUUUUAAAUUGAAAGUCAGGGAACAAUACAACAAUAUGGCGGUGUGAUGAGGGUCUAUUAUUGUGAUAUUAAUGAUAAUGAACUUUUUGAACAAUGCAUGAUAAUUAUUAGACUUGACCAUACGGGUGUUGAAAAUAAGCUGAAAUCUUACAAUUUUUGUAAAAAAAAAGUUACUGUCUUUGAAUACAUUUGUAUAGAAUGUCCUGUGGAAAUAGGAAGAGAAAACUAGGAUUCAAAACAGAGUUAAAAGAUUAAGAUGUACAAUCAUAGAAAAGAUCGAAUUGCAUGAACUGUAUAAAUUUACAUCAACAUUUUAGUUUAAAACAAUCAAUAAUUAAUGUAUGCAUGGUUUAAUGUUUCAUAAUUGAUUAGUUGUAAAGCAUUUCAGUAGCGUUAUUGCUGAGCAACUUUUCCAAACUGCAAUGAAUUGAAGGGCUUAACAUUUCCAAUGCUUUUUAACAAAAACACUUGAACUAUUCAUAAUAUAUUGGGAAAAUUUCAUUAGAAAAUAUUAGCUAUUUAAGUAUGAUGAUUUUAGCUCAUGAAUUAGUAGAGAGUUGGUCUUCACGAAAAUAAAAACUGCACUGUUCAAUUUUUAAAAAUGAAACAUGCAACUUCUGAUAAUAGUUUUGCCUUUUUUAAAACUGAGAAUAAAGCUGUUCUAUUUGGUGUUCCUCUGCUACUAAAUAUCCCUUGCAGGAGGUUAUGAGUUAUGCUGCUUUGAAAAACUUUUCCGACUAACUCUUAUUCUUAACACUUAAGAAACUUCCGGGACAGGAUUGACCUGGAGCCGGGUUCCAUGGAACCUGACACAUUUCUGGGUCAGUAUGAUCAGGGAUCUGUGUCAAUUGAUCCUGAAUGGGUCGAAAUGGUGCAGAAUCUUGGUUAAGGUCAAAUUUGUAUCCACUUCCUGGGUCGCUCUGACCCAGAAAUGGGCCAGGAAUGCGGGUCAUAAUUGACUCUGGUAUUUUUUGAGUGUAUGAGAAUUGUUAAAAUUGACUCGUUAUCAUGAAAAAGUUGGGCUCGCUAAAAUAAACUUGAUUGGUUUCCUUAUCCUGUAAUCUAAAAUAUGACUGAAGCUGUUUCUUUGUUCAUAUAUAUAAACUCCUUUCUUAUAGCUGAAUGGGGUUGCUCGUGGUUACUGGGAAUGGUAACUAGGAUGCAUAAUCCUGUGUAUUAAUUCUUUUGUUGUUGUUUAUAUGGCCUUAAAGAGUAUAGUUUCCAAGUUGAUUUGUAAGAGGGUUUUACACUGAUGCAUUAAUGUUUUUAUUUGAUUUAAGUCUCUUAGUCUAACAUCAUUAGUUGUUUGUUUUUCUUUCGUGUUGAGGGAAGAGAAGAGUGAUUUCAUUACUGUUGAUUUAACAAAAACAUAGAUUUUUAUUUCAUAUUGAUUUUUCAUAAAACCAGUACUACCCAUUUAGUUAAAAAAAAAAAAUUUUUUUUGUUGUUGUUAUGUUCCAAGCUUCAUUUUGUAAGUUGCAAAAAAUCCACAAUGUUUGAAUUUUUUUAUUUUUAACAGCUGCUUUAAAGUAGUUAAUAUUAACUAGGUUUUUGUUUGCAGAUUGAUUUUUUUUUUAUGUUAAAAAGCUAGGGACCAACAUUUGUGAUGUGGAGUUGAUGAAUGGUUAUUGUGAACAUUUUAUAUAUAAUUCAUGAAUUUUAAAGUUGGCUUAUGGUAUAGUUUAUUUUGUACACAUCACGUUGGAUUUAUGCACAUCAACAAGCCACUUUUAGAUUAUGUUUUGCUGUGUUCCUAAGUUUGAACUUGUAUAUCACAAUUUAAAUAUAAUUUUAUCAGUCAGCUCCAAUACUCCUUAGAGCAAAAAAGUUAUUCCUGUUUUUGUUUUUAUUUUAAUGCCUGACUUUAUGCACUUUUAAUAUCACAGAUCAAGUAUGAUGUGUUUUUGUGAGACAUAGCGGCAGUGUUGUAUCACUUGCAUCAUUUUGCCAGAAAUGGUUCACACAUCUUGUCCCAUUAUUACUUCUAAUGCUUUGCCGUGCUCCUUUGAGUUUGUUCAUUUUUUUGUGUAACCAUUAAGUUAAAUUUUUUUAAGGCCGAUACCCAUUUUAAGCACCAGCAUAAUCACGAUGUCGGUGCAACACAAGUUUGAAGAGAAGUUUGGUUUUAAUUUUGUUUUGUUGUUCAGCGAAUGGUUGGAAUUUGUCAUGACCCAACCAGAUAGUUAUGAGAUUGUGUUGGAGAGUAGACCAUCGUGGUGCAUCAAAAGACUGUUUUCUCAAUGAUUUGAGGUAUUGGAUUGGAUCCGAACCUUCCAUUUCAAGAUACUGUAUGUUAUGCAUGUAGAUGAGGACUUCACUGUGGUCAACUUGCUAAUGGUCAUCUCGGUGGUUUUUAAUGGCUAAGCUUGGUCACUAUAGGCAAUUCUGAAGCAUUUUGCUUAAAGCAAGUGGCUUCAAAAUAGCUGAUAGCUCUUAAGUCAAGUAAUAACCAUUAAAUUCAGAAAAACACAAAAUGUUUAUUGGCAUUAAGCAAUAGAUGAGUAUCAUCCCUAAUUACUUUGUCCUUCCAAAGUAUAUUUCCCAGUUACUAGGAAGCUCUUAAGAAGUAUUUACUUUACCAAUACAAACCAAACGAGGCAAUUGUUCUCCGAUGAUUAGGAUCUAUCAGAACUGUGGUCAUUAUGACGAUUAGAGAAAUACUUAUAAUAUUGUCCAAAAAUAAAAGUUAAAAAUUCAGUGAUGUGAGACCGUAAACGUACCUUCAUAGGAUUAAUACAAGUGUAAGAAUAUUACUAGCAAAUAGUUAAGUCCAAAAAAAUGUAAUUGAUGAAUCUGUAGUUUCAGUGAUAAAUUUAGCAUGUUGUUAGUCACUUGAUCUAGUACAUGUUUUGAUCUGUCAUUGAUAACUACUGUCCCCUUCUAUCUAAUGUUUUAUCUUUCCCGUUAGUUGAGACGUUGAGGUGUUCUGACCAUCCGCUGUUGUCAUGGUAACAGCUGUUAUGGAGUGGGGAAUAAAAGAUGCUUAGGCCCUACACAUGUUUUGAUAAAACAUUA